CGCGACCAGAGAGCCACCGAGGCUGGCUCGCGCGCCUCUGAGAGGCUGUCCGCGUGCGCGCGUGUGUGCGUGAGUGUGGAUUUGCCUGGACUGGAGCUGGAAAGUCCAAACUAAAAGUGUUGCUCUCGCCGGGUGCUGAGGCCGCGGCGGAGGCUGCCCAACUUCCCCGGGCCAAGUGAGUGGCGUUGCCAGCGCCUUUGGCGAGGCGGCGGCCGCUCGGCCCUGCGCCCGGGCGCGGCGGCGACCGCUCGGCCCUGCGCCCGGCGGCUCCGCUCGCCCCGGGAGGGAGCCCGCGGCCAGGGCUGGACUCUCGCCCCGCCACCUCCACCGACUCUCUCCUCAGCCUCCACACCUGGCACCCCAGCAAGGAUAAUUCACCUCCCACCAGUUCCACAUUUUGGCAACUUUAUCAUUUUGGACCAAUGUGCAUUUGACCUUUCCCCCGGCCGUUCUUCAUCUUGUGGAGAAGCUGAGGACGGGCUGAGGGAACCGGAGACCGAGAAGGCGCUGUCCUCUUCACUGCACACGCCCUGGACCAGUGCCGGCACUGAUCAUGCAGCUCUUCCAGGCCCACUGCUUCUUCCUGUCCACUAGGCCACAGCCGCCCUCCAGGCCCACUAUGCACACAUCUUCCCCUCCAAGGUUUGUUCUGCCCCUGCCCUGACUCCCAGCCCUGCGGGGGUCCUGACCCCACCUCACCUGGCUCAGACUCUGACGCUGCCCUGGCUGCCCUACCACUGCCUCUGCCCGAGAGUCACGUGAGGCUGACAGUAGGGGCAGGGGCAGCAGUGGUUCCAGUUGGGGGGCGGUCCAGUGGGAGGAGACUCAGCCUCGCGGGCUGCUCUGUGGGAUUGAUGACUGCAUGAUCUUCUGGGCACCUCACGGAUCUUCAACUGCAGAUGAAAUGGAUGCUGGUGGUGGGUGCAGGGCCGCUAGGAGCUGCUGCAUGGGUCCCAGAGGCUGGACUGGGGCAGGUGCCAACUGAAGCUGCUGGGGCAGCAUGGGCAGGAUGUUCUGCACACAAACCUUGGAGAAGAAGAUGUGUGCAUAGCGGGUCCACUGCUGCUGCCCCUGCCCUGACUCCCAGCCCUGCCUGACCCCAUCUCACCCUGCUCAGGCUCUGGCGCAACCCUGGCUGCCCUGCCACUGCCUCUGCCCCAGAGUUGGGGCCUCGACAGCCUGGCUGGAAGGGGACACCCCAGCCCUGCCUCAACACCUGGG